rnacentral:rRNA from 1 species
GACGAACCACACGAACGUUAUUCGGAAUUACUGGGCUUAAAGGGUGCGUAGGCGGUGCGGAAAGUUAGGUGUGAAAUCCCCCGGCUCAACCGGGGAAUUGCGCUUAAAACUACCGUGCUAGAGGAAGAUAGAGGUGAGCGGAACUUCGGGUGGAGCGGUGAAAUGCGUAGAUAUCAGGAGGAACACCGGUGGCGAAGGCGGCUCUCUGGUCCACAACUGACGCUGAGGUGCGAAAGCUAGGGGAGCAAACGGG